UACGUAGGCAGCGAGCGUUGUUCGGAAUUACUGGGCGUAAAGAGUGUGUAGGCGGUGCUCUAAGUUCGGUGUGAAAUCUCCCGGCUUAACUGGGAGGGUGCGCCGGAAACUGGAGUGCUCGAGCGUGGGAGAGGAAAGCGGAAUUCCUGGUGUAGCGGUGAAAUGCGCAGAUAUCAGGAGGAACACCAAUGGCGAAGGCAGCUCGCUGGGACGUGACUGACGCUGAGACGCGAAAGCGUGGGGAGCAAACAGG
rnacentral:rRNA from 1 species